rnacentral:snRNA from 1 species
GAUCCGUAACUUCGGGAAA